rnacentral:rRNA from 1 species
GAUGAACGCUGGCGGCGUGCCUAAUACAUGCAAGUCGAGCGAACGGACGAGAAGCUUGCUUCUCUGAUGUUAGCGGCGGGCGGGUGAGUAACACGUGGAUAACCUACCUAUAAGACUGGGAUAACUUCGGGAAACCGGAGCUAAUACCGGAUAAUAUUUUGAACCGCAUGGUUCAAAAGUGAAAGACGGUCUUGCUGUCACUUAUAGAUGGAUCCGCGCUGCAUUAGCUAGUUGGUAAGGUAACGGCUUACCGAGGCAACGAUGCAUAGCCGACCUGAGAGGGUGAUCGGCCACACUGGAACUGAGACACGGUCCAGACUCCUACGGGAGGCAGCAGUAGGGAAUCUUCCGCAAUGGGCGAAAGCCUGACGGAGCAACGCCGCGUGAGUGAUGAAGGUCUUCGGAUCGUAAAACUCUGUUAUUAGGGAAGAACAUAUGUGUAAGUAACUGUGCACAUCUUGACGGUACCUAAUCAGAAAGCCACGGCUAACUACGUG